UAGAUUGGCUGCAGUGUGCAACAUUUUCAAAACCUUUUCAAAAGCAGAAAUGCAACAGCUAAUAAUGGAGGAAAAACUGAAGCUGGCUUCACCAAAGCCGGAGAAAGAAAAACCAAGCCAACCCAAUCUUUGAAGAUUUGUUCAGCAGUGUUAUUGUGAGUGUUGAAAUCCAGAGACAAUGGAAGUGUGAUGCUUUUGCAAGGCUGCAGCAUAGAGCACUCACUAGAUCAUGUGCUAUUUUGAUUUUUAUUAAUGGGAAAAUCGGGUAACCUUGCUAACAGGUAGCAAUAUGGCGUGUGUCUACAUUUUCAGUCAUCAAAACUAAUUGAUAGACCGUAAUCUGAUUUCCACUUUGCGAUAUAGUCUGAUCACGUGGGCCAAAACUGCUGUCCAUUUUGCUGAAACGUCGUCUAUUGGGGUUCAGUUUACGUUGGUUGGAAUUUUAUAUCUGACUUGCUAACUGUAGAAUCAUUCAGUAAAUUUUAAUGCUGAAGCAAUUUUCAAGUUUUGCUGGCCAUUUGAUGUUCAAGCUGUAAGUGGAGAUGCUGCCCAAUGACGAGAUAGUGAAAGGUGUGCUGCUGCUGUCCUUCCUUGGUGUGGAGUUAUCACUUAUCUGUGAUGUUGUGAAACCAGAACUGCCAGAUGACGGCCCAGACCUAAUGGUUGUUUUCUUUCAAUAACUUUGAGUUGUGUUGCUGUGAUGCAUGAACCAAAUGAUCAUAUGUGUUAACUAUAUUUAUUUAAGUAUAGGACAUGAAACUGAUAUCGUAGCAUUAGUUAACUGAUUAUCUCAUUCAUCCUUCGCAUUACCAUUUCUGUUGAUUACAGAAAAUACUUAAUAAAUAAAGAAAUGAAUAGAGUAAUUAA